CAUUACGCUCACUGGUGCGUCAGUGCGUCUUUCCGGUGGGCCGUUGGUGUGUCGGUUGGUGGGUCGGUUGGUGCGUCGGUUGGUGCGGUGCGUCCUCCCUCCAGCCCGCUAGUCCGCUAGUCCGCUCGCCGCCAUGAUCAUCCCCAUGCGCUGCUUCACCUGCGGGCAGAUCUUCAGCAGCAAGUGGGAGGCCUGCCUGGGGCUGCUGCAGGCGGAGUACACGGAGGGGUGAGCGGGCCGGGCGCUCGCGGGGUCCUGGGGCGGGGACAGCAGGGCGCCCCACUGACCCCGGAGUCUGAGGAGGGUCCCUGCACCCCGACCGGCGCCCAGGGCUGGGGGACCCCGCGCCGCACCCACAGCCGCCCUCCCCUCCCUCCCCUCAAAGGAAAAAAAAAAAAGAGAAAAAUUGAGCAUAGCUGCAUAAGAGGAUAAACCUGGUCUGUGAUUCACCAUAGUCUGCAGAUAACUAUCAGGGUCCUUUACGUGGCUACCCAGUUGGUGAAUGGAGGUCCUGCUAGUUUUGUUUUUUUACUAUUAUUUAUUUAUUUAUUUAUUAUUACAGAGUUACAUGUUGACAGGGGUUUGAAUCCACACCAUUCCCACCUCCAGAGUUCUGAAUCUUCACUCUCCCCACUGCAAUCCACCGCAGUUCGCCUAAAGUUGUGGACAUGGGCCAACCAUCUUCUCUACAACUCUCUGUCCACAUUUAUACAUAGUUGCCCCUUCUUUUUCUGAUUCAAUCCUCUCUUCCUCUCUAAUCCACUCAUAACAUCGUAGCUACCUCCAUAUGCCCCUCUCCUUUUCCUUCUCUCUCUCUGGGUGCUGAUGGAGCUGGAGUGCAGAGCCUCUUAUCUUCAUCCUAGCACUUCUCCCCUCUGGGAGUAUGGAUCAAGGUUGUUUAUGGGGAGCAGAAGGUAGGAGUUCUGGCUUCUGUAGCUGCUUCUCUGCUGAGCACGGGCGUUGACAGGCCCAUACCCCCAGUUUGUUGUUUGUUUUAAUUUUCUCCAGGGUUAUAGCUAGGGCCUGGUACUGGUAACAUGAAUCCACCAAUCCUGGCAGCCAUUUUUUUCUUUUUCUUUCUGUUUUAUUUUUACUUGACAGGACAGAGAAAUUGAGAGGAAAGGAGAGAUAAAGAAGGAGAGAGAAAGACAGACAUGCAGACCUGCUUCACCACUCUUAAAGAAUACUCCCUACAGGAGAAAUGGAGGAGGUGGCUGAAGAGGGGGAAGGUCUCCCCAGCAGAGUGUGAAGAGGCCCCCGUAGCCCCGAAGCUGCUGGUAAAGCUUCUGCAGAGGCUGUGCACCCACAGGGAUUUUUCUGCAUAGAAAUAUCAAGGAAGCACAGGAGACACUGCGUGUUGCUGUCAGGGCAGCUGUAGGACCUGGUCAGGACCCUGUGAGGCGACACACCAAACUCAGCCCCUUUGUUUCAGAGGAGAGAACGGCUGUGCCUAGCUCGUGAGAGGUGCCUGUCUCUAGAGAAACAAGUGGCUGCUAACGAGAGAAAGAAAAAAUGGAGGUGGCGGCCGGAGAGGGGCAGGGUCAGCCCGGCAGAGAAGGAAGAGGCCUCCGUGACCCCCGAAGCUGCUGGAAAAGGUGUUGCUGCAGAGCCAGUGGACCCACAGUUGUCAGGGGACACAGGAUGAAGCCACCCAGACCCACAGCACAAGUCAUGGCCGGUCUUCAGCAGAGGGUGUCUUUGUCUGUCCUCUCUCCCCAGUCCAUUGGGGACACUACCCCUCAUAGGUGUCUCAUGCCGGUGGAGUCCUCCUCUGGUGAGUUUCAGCUGUGAUGAAAACACCCAGUGAUGAAAACCUGAAAAGCUUCCUCUCUUGGACCAUGAGUAAGACCAGGCUGCCCACCACCACUUUACUGUCUACAUGAUCCUGUAAAGCGCGGGCCGGCCAGGCAAGUAAGCAAGCACUGGUCCCGGAGAAGUAAAACUGUCACUAUCUGCAGACGACAUGGCAGUACCUGCAGGAGACUCAGAAGAACCCAGCAGAAAACACUUAAGAGGCCACUACACAAUGUAGCAAGGUGGCGGCUUACACAAUCAAUGUAUAAAGAUCAGUGGCAUUCUGUUUA